rnacentral:rRNA from 1 species
AUUGAACGCUGGCGGCAUGCUUUACACAUGCAAGUCGAACGGUAACAGGCCGCAAGGUGCUGACGAGUGGCGAACGGGUGAGUAAUGCAUCGGAACGUGCCCAGUCGUGGGGGAUAACGCAGCGAAAGCUGCGCUAAUACCGCAUACGAUCUAUGGAUGAAAGCGGGGGACCGUAAGGCCUCGCGCGAUUGGAGCGGCCGAUGUCAGAUUAGGUAGUUGGUGGGGUAAAGGCUCACCAAGCCGACGAUCUGUAGCUGGUCUGAGAGACGACCAGCCACACUGGGACUGAGACACGGCCCAGACUCCUACGGGAGGCAGCAGUGGGGAAUUUUGGACAAUGGGCGCAAGCCUGAUCCAGCAAUGCCGCGUGCAGGAAGAAGGCCUUCGGGUUGUAAACUGCUUUUGUACGGAACGAAACGACUCUGGUUAAUACCUGGGGCUAAUGACGGUACCGUAAGAAUAAGCACCGGCUAACUACGUGCCAGCCGCCGCGGUAAGAC